rnacentral:rRNA from 1 species
GAUGAACGCUGGCGGCGUGCUUAACACAUGCAAGUCGAACGGAAAGGCCCAAGCUUGCUUGGGUACUCGAGUGGCGAACGGGUGAGUAACACGUGGGUGAUCUGCCCUGCACUUCGGGAUAAGCCUGGGAAACUGGGUCUAAUACCGGAUAGGACCACAUUUUGGAUGGUGUGGUGGAAAGUUUUUCGGUGUGGGAUGAGCUCGCGGCCUAUCAGCUUGUUGGUGGGGUACUGGCCUACCAAGGCGUCGACGGGUAGCCGGCCUGAGAGGGUGUACGGCCACAUUGGGACUGAGAUACGGCCCAGACUCCUACGGGAGGCAGCAGUGGGGAAUAUUGCACAAUGGGCGCAAGCGUGAUGCAGCGACGCCGCGUGGGGGAUGACGGCCUUCGGGUUGUAAACUCCUUUCGCUAGGGACGAAGCGCAAGUGACGGUACCUGGAGAAGAAGCACCGGCUAACUACGUG